rnacentral:lncRNA from 1 species
AGGCUCUAAACUAUAGUCUUCUUUCUUUCGCAGUGAUGUAUUUCCUUUAUUCCACAGGAAAUGCUUUGCCACAGAUCUGGCAGAAGCACUUCCAGCUACUCUUGCCCUCCUCAAAUGCAUGAGAGUCUGUAGGUCACGAAACUCCCACGGAGCAGCACACUGUACCACCAAUGAAGCCGACGGGCUGUCCAGUGUCACGGAAUGAAUUGUGACUGGAUCUUUUGUGGGAUCCAUGGACAAAGGCAGAGCUCACCUAGGGGCUGCUUUGACCUCCUGAAGAAGAGAAGCAGCACUCCGUCCUGUUGCUUGGCCCAGGGUUGCCCCCAGCCAGCUCUAUCUUGGAAACCCCAGUGUGAUUCCUAUCAGAAAUCCAACAAUCAUAACAAUUCCACCACAAAGUAAAAUCUCUUCUCCUUUUUCUUUUUUUUUCAUUUACAUGAAAUAUAAAAGGGUAAUAAUGUUAGUAUUCCUU